rnacentral:rRNA from 1 species
CACGUAGGGGGCAAGCGUUGUCCGGAUUUAUUGGGCGUAAAGAGCUCGUAGGUGGCUCGGUAAGUCGGGUGUGAAAUUUCGAGGCUCAACCUCGAGACGCCACCUGAUACUGCUGUGGCUAGAGUCCGGUAGGGGAGCGUGGAAUUCCUGGUGUAGCGGUGAAAUGCGCAGAUAUCAGGAGGAACACCAGCGGCGAAGGCGGCGCUCUGGGCCGGUACUGACACUGAGGAGCGAAAGCGUGGGGAUCAAACAGGAUUAGAUACCCUGGUAGUCCACGCCGUAAACGUUGGGCACUAGGUGUGGGGUUCUAUCAACGGACUCCGUGCCGAAGCUAACGCAUUAAGUGCCCCGCCUGGGGAGUACGGCCGCAAGGCUAAA